rnacentral:lncRNA from 1 species
GUGUGGCUUUAGGAGAUCAUACCUCUCAGCUUCAGUUCUCUUACAGAAAACAGCAUCAUUUCCUGGCUUGUUGCCCAGCCUUUGGAGGAUGUGACUGAUGAAAGGCAGGCAGAACCCCACGGUGGGAAAAGAGGAGAAAGAAAUAUUUAUUAAGCACUUACUCUGGCCAGGAGGCCUACCUGGCCAUUUCACACAAGUGGGUCACCUCACGUCUUUUAAUCCCCAGAAACCUACAAUUACUGCAUGGAAUGGAAAAGCUGCCCCCAAAUUGUACAAGCUUCUGGAUCCACCAAGCCAGGAUUCAGCCCUCAGCAGGACAGAGAGAGUACCCUGGUCGUGGAGCUAGAAGGCUUCCAGGAGGUGUGUUCAAAAUGAGAUUUAAGCAAGAGAAGAAUUUUUACUACACACAGAAGCGGAAGGCCAGGGGAAAGGUGGGCAAAGAAAUUAGGCUAUGAGAAGACCGGGGUUGGGGUGGUUUAAAACAUCC